rnacentral:rRNA from 2 species
GCAGCAGGCGCGCAAAUUACCCACUCCCAGAUCGGGGAGGUAGUGACGAAAAAUAACGAUACGGGACUCAUCCGAGGCCCCGUAAUCGGAAUGAGUACACUCUAAACCCUUUAACGAGGAUCCAUUGGAGGGCAAGUCUGGUGCCAGCAGCCGCGGUAAUUCCAGCUCCAAUAGCGUAUAUUAAAGUUGUUGCGGUUAAAAAGCUCGUAGUCGAAUUUGUGUCUCGCGCCGUCCGGUUCAUCGUUCGCGGUGUCAACUGGCGUGUCGCGAGACGUCCUGCCGGCGGGUCGUUCGCAAGGGCGGCCCAAAUUGCCCCGCCGCGGUGCUCUUCACUGAGUGUCGAGGUGGGCCGGCACUUUUACUUUGAACAAACUAAGGUGCUUAAAGCAGGCUGAAAUUUUGCCAGAAUAUUUUAUGCAUGGAAUAAUGAAACAGGACCUCGAUUCUAUUUUGUUGGUUUUCGGAACCUCGAGGUAAUGAUUAACAGGAACGGAUGGGGGCAUUCGUAUUGCGACGUUAGAGGUGAAAUUCUUGGAUCGUCGCAAGACGGACAGAAGCGAAAGCAUUUGCCAAAAACGUUUUCAUUGAUCAAGAACGAAAGUUAGAGGUUCGAAGGCGAUCAGAUACCGCCCUAGUUCUAACCAUAAACUAUGCCAGCUAGCGAUCCGCCGACGUUCCUCCGAUGACUCGGCGGGCAGCUUCCGGGAAACCAAAGCUUUUGGGUUCCGGGGGAAGUAUGGUUGCAAAGCUGAAACUUAAAGGAAUUGACGGAAGGGCACCACCAGGAGUGGAGCCUGCGGCUUAAUUUGACUCAACACGGGAAACCUCACCAGGCCCGGACACCGGAAGGAUUGACAGAUUGAGAGCUCUUUCUUGAUUCGGUGGGUGGUGGUGCAUGGCCGU